rnacentral:rRNA from 1 species
AGUGAACGUUGGCGGCGUGGAUUAGGCAUGCAAGUCGAGCGAGAACCGUAGCAAUACGGGGACAGCGGCGAAAGGGACAGUAAUGUGUAGGUACCUACCCCGGGGUCUGGGAUAGCUGCGGGAAACUGCAGGUAAUACCGGAUAAUGUCUUCGGACCAAAGGUGUGAUUCCACCUUGGGAGGGGCCUGCAUCCUAUUAGCUUGUUGGCGGGGUAACGGCCCACCAAGGCAACGAUGGGUAGCGGGUGUGAGAGCACGACCCGCGUCAUUGGGACUGAGGUACUGCCCAGACACCUACGGGUGGCUGCAGUCGAGGAUCUUCGGCAAUGGGCGAAAGCCUGACCGAGCGACGCCGCGUGCGGGAUGAGGGCCUUCGGGUUGUAAACCGCUGUCGUAGAGGAGGAAAUGCAGGGGGGUUCUCCCUUCUGUUUGACCUAUUCUAGGAGGAAGGACGGGCUAAGUCCGUGCCAGCCGCCGCCGUAA